rnacentral:ncRNA from 1 species
GUCAUUGCUAGGAUAGGGAGUAAUACUGGAGAACCCUUGUAAAGAGAGGCGGCGGGAGGUGCGAGUCGCUAUAGGGAACUUCAGGAACUCGCCCUGGAGCUGUGUUCAGGUCACAAUGAACAUCGGUGCGAACCGUUAAAAUCGUGUAAGCACUUAUAAAUUGGGUGGUAUCACGGGAGCUAGCCUCUCGUCCCUUUG